GCGGCGGCCUCGAGGUUGUCCUGCUGUGCUCCGCAGUGCUCCAACGCCGCGGGGCGGCUCCGGGCGCCGCCUCAGCUUCUACAGGAGAGACGUUGUGGGUGAGACAGAGGGAACAUCAAAUGAGAAACUGGGAAGAGAUAUGAAGUAGCGGGACCAGUUUUUCUAAAAAGCUCAACUGAUCAAAGAGAAGGAAGGAAGCAAUUUGCUGGACUCCCAGGACACCAACGCAGAGCUACCUUCGAGCCGGCACUGUGUGACUGCAUGGAGACUGUCUGUGCCAGUGGGCCAGACCUAAAGAAGGAACUACCAGAUGAUGCUGAGGAUUCCUGCAUUCAUCGACAGAAGCAGUUUAGUGAGACAAAGGAACCGUAAGGCAGGAUAUGCAGUAACUGCUACUGAGCAGGUAAUCAGAGUACAACCGUUACCUGUAGGGACUUCCACUAAGAGGUCUAAAAUAGCCUUAAACGUAUGGACAGAUGCUAAAUAUGCAUUUGGGGUGGCACACACUUAUGGUACCAUCUGGAAAGAGCAAGGAGUGCUCACACACAGGGAAAACAAAUUGAGCACGGUGUAUAUCUACCAAAGAGCGUGGCUGUUAUACACUGUGAUGGACAUCAGAAAGGUGACAGUGUCCAGGAAACUGGAAAUAUGAUAGGGAUCAG
rnacentral:lncRNA from 1 species